AAGAAAACCACUCUCAUCAUUUGCUCUAUCAACAUUAUCGUUGCUCUCUAUGUUCUUCGAUCUCUAUAUGCUUCUCUCUACCUCUAUACGGAUAAUGAUUCUCGAAGUGUUGUAAAGUACACUCCGGAUCAGAUUAGGAAAAUGGAACAGUUUAUUCGGAUUCGUCGGGCCUCUAAGCCGGUAGAGCUCAUUAAAUUUGUUAAGGAGCUUAAAGAAUUCUCCCAAGAAGAAACGGUGAAUGAAUUGCCUCAACCAUUGAAACAGAAGAUAACUGAGGAAAUUCUUAUGAAAUUGAGAAGCUCAAAUACUAGCUCCAACAGUACUCAGCAGAGAGAAGCAGUAGAAAGCUGGAG